CUCCAAAGCCCCGGGCAGGGACGGGACACCAGGCAAACGUUACCGUGUCAUGCAGGGCUCGAGUGCUGCAGCCGCCUUCACGCCUUGCUAUCCGUCUAGUGACUCCUGCAGUGCCAGCAAAGGAGCGGCAAGCUUCAAAUGUCCUGAAAUUACCAGGUAAGCUGCGGGAUCGAGUAACCUUUAAAUGACUGGCGUAUCUCCAGUUCUUGAGACGCAUACCGCAAGCCUGUUUUUUGCUGCGUUGCCAUAAAGUAACGCGGGAGCUUAAGCAGGGAUUAGUGCCCUUCCCGACAGAGGUAAUGUGAAUUUUCCAACAAAAGCACUCCUACUCGCCGUCUUAAAAUAUUGCGUAUUGUAUCCUCAGAACUGGCCUUUUCCCUAAUUACAGCCUCGUUUUGUUCUCCUCAGCCAGCUUCUUAGAGCACAACCCGCUAUUUAAGCCUGCUUCCGUGCGUGACUUCAACCCAGUCUUUUUCUAAUGCCAUGCUUCUGGAAAAGGUGAAGUUAGUCCAGCUGCACCUCCAGUAGCUGUCAAUAGGAGAAGGUAUAAAUUAACCACAGCAGGCAUUUGCUGCCUGCUAUACUACAAAACAUCAGAUAUUAUCCGGAAGCGCUGCACGCAAUUUUGCAGCAGUUCAGUAAACAGCGUACAUGGCUGCAGUGCUCCGAGUGAGUCAGGGCCCUGGAAAUGAGCUGUUACUAACGAGCAAGGUACAAACAAGGCCUUUCUUUACUCCACUGAAGCACAUAAAGCAAUUUAUUGCUGGAAAUGCUUCUCUCUCUGCAAAAAGAG